GGUGGUUCAGUGGUAGAGCUCUUGCCUUGCAUGCAUGAGGCCCUGGGUUCAAUUCCUCAGCACCA
rnacentral:tRNA from 1 species